AAGUAAACUGUGAUGACGGUUAGGGGAGGAUUCACACAACCAAAUAAAUAUCACAGUUAACUUGUGUUCAAGACAUUUUAAGGGUUACUACUGAGAGCUUUUCAGUGAACCAAUGAGGAAAAUGCUUUUCAAAUUAGUUUUGUUCUGUUUGUGUUUGUGGCGUCUGGUUGGUGGGGUUGAUAAUGAAAUUAAGUUAGUGAAAAUAGGAGAUUCAGUCACUCUAAACUCUGAUCUUACUGAAAUAAUGGAUGAUGAUUGGAUUCACUGGAGGUUUAUACUUGAAAACACUUUAAUAGCUGAAAUCAAUGUAACGGCCGGCAGCGUAACUGUAUAUGAUGAUGUUCUUGAUGGGAGAUUCAGAGACAGACUGAAGCUGGACAAUCAAACUGGAUCUCUGACCAUCACAAAUAUAAGAAUGAAACAGGCUGGACUUUAUCAACUGCAGGGUGGGAGUUUGUGGAAGAGUUUCUUUAUCUCUAUCAUUG